AGUGAACGCUGGCGGUAGGCCUAACACAUGCAAGUCGAACGGCAGCACAGUAAGAGCUUGCUCUUACGGGUGGCGAGUGGCGGACGGGUGAGGAAUACAUCGGAAUCUACUUUUUCGUGGGGGAUAACGUAGGGAAACUUACGCUAAUACCGCAUACGACCUACGGGUGAAAGCAGGGGAUCUUCGGACCUUGCGCGAUUGAAUGAGCCGAUGUCGGAUUAGCUAGUUGGCGGGGUAACGGCCCACCAAGGCGACGAUCCGUAGCUGGUCUGAGAGGAGGAUCAGCCACACUGGAACUGAGACACGGUCCAGACUCCUACGGGAGGCAGCAGUGGGGAAUAUUGGACAAUGGGCGCAAGCCUGAUCCAGCCAUACCGCGUGGGUGAAGAAGGCCUUCGGGUUGUAAAGCCCUUUUGUUGGGAAAGAAAAGCAGCAGGUUAAUACCCCGCUGUUCUGACGGUACCCAAAGAAUAAGCACCGGCUAACUUCGUG
rnacentral:rRNA from 1 species